rnacentral:sRNA from 1 species
CCAGGCGGAAAUAUGGGGCUCCUGUGCUGGCUCAGUAGCUAGCCAACGUCCAUGAAGCCUCAACCGACGCCUAAUAAGUAUGCCUAGUGGCAUGCACGAUUAUUGAGCUUAUAUAUGCGAAAUGCUACAUAUCAUGGAUCAGUAUUCACAGUAUACCCUUGCUAACUGUUGUCAAAUCAAGCUCUCUGAAAGCCAAAGACUCAGCGACUCUUCACAGUUAAGCCCUAUCACAAGAUCAACUUCACAUUCCAAGAGAAUGUCAGCAAGGAAUCCGUCCAACACGCACGUCGUCAUAAGUAAAACAGG